GCAUGUUCGUGUUGGUUUCAUGAUGGUCUGGAGACUCAAGCGUGCUUGCACCUCCGUGUAUGCGUGUUCGGCCAGCACCUGGUUAGGCACAGUCGGAAAUGCGAACGAUGGUGCUCAAGAUGGCACAUGCAACGCUAUGCAGCUGUGGACACCAGCAGCUUGAUAAGAACUCUCGAAGCUCAUCUGGAUGCUUCACAGAACCUGGGAAGACUGAACACUUUUGGCAAAGCAGCAACAGUUCUG